rnacentral:misc_RNA from 1 species
AACAAGGCGUACCUGCGGACCUGCGGAAGGAUCAUUAUUAAAAUUUUUUACAUUUUUAUUGUAAAAAAAAAAUUGUAUUCAAAACCCAUACUCUUAAAAUCAAAAAAAAAAUUUUUUUUAAAUAAAAAAUAAUAAAUAAAAGACAACUUUCAGCAACGGAUCU